rnacentral:rRNA from 1 species
AGAGUUUGAUCCUGGCUCAGGACGAACGCUGGCGGCACGCUUAACACAUGCAAGUCGAACGAGAGAAGAGGAGCUUGCUUUUCUGAUCUAGUGGCGGACGGGUGAGUAACACGUGAGCAAUCUGCCUUUCAGAGGGGGAUACCGAUUGGAAACGAUCGUUAAUACCGCAUAACAUAAUUGAACCGCAUGAUUUGAUUAUCAAAGAUUUAUCGCUGAAAGAUGAGCUCGCGUCUGAUUAGCUAGUUGGUAAGGUAACGGCUUACCAAGGCGACGAUCAGUAGCCGGACUGAGAGGUUGAUCGGCCACAUUGGGACUGAGACACGGCCCAGACUCCUACGGGAGGCAGCAGUGGGGAAUAUUGCACAAUGGAGGAAACUCUGAUGCAGCGAUGCCGCGUGAGGGAAGAAGGUUUUAGGAUUGUAAACCUCUGUCUUCAGGGACGAAAAAAGACGGUACCUGAGGAGGAGGCUCCGGCUAACUACGUGCCAGCAGCCGCGGUAAUACGUAGGGAGCGAGCGUUGUCCGGAAUUACUGGGUGUAAAGGGAGCGUAGGCGGGAUCGCAAGUCAGAUGUGAAAACUAUGGGCUUAACCCAUAAACUGCAUUUGAAACUGUGGUUCUUGAGUGAAGUAGAGGUAAGCGGAAUUCCUAGUGUAGCGGUGAAAUGCGUAGAUAUUAGGAGGAACAUCAGUGGCGAAGGCGGCUUACUGGGCUUUAACUGACGCUGAGGCUCGAAAGCGUGGGGAGCAAACAGGAUUAGAUACCCUGGUAGUCCACGCCGUAAACGAUGAUUACUAGGUGUGGGGGGACUGACCCCUUCCGUGCCGCAGCAAACGCAAUAAGUAAUCCACCUGGGGAGUACGACCGCAGGGUUGAAACUCAAAGGAAUUGACGGGGGCCCGCACAAGCAGUGGAGUAUGUGGAUUAAUUCGAAGCAACGCGAAGGACCUUACCAGGUCUUGACAUCGUAUGCAUAGCUCAGAGAUGAGUGAAAUCCCUUCGGAGACAUAUAGACAGGUGGUGCAUGGUUGUCGUCAGCUCGUGUCGUGAGAUGUUGGGUUAAGUCCCGCAACGAGCGCAACCCUUACUGUUAGUUGCUACGCAAGAGCACUCUAGCAGGACUGCCGUUGACAAAACGGAGGAAGGUGGGGAUGACGUCAAAUCAUCAUGCCCCUUAUGACCUGGGCCUCACACGUACUACAAUGGCUGUCAACAGAGGGAAGCAAAGCCGCGAGGUGGAGCGAACCCCUAAAAGCAGUCUUAGUUCGGAUUGUAGGCUGCAACCCGCCUACAUGAAGUCGGAAUUGCUAGUAAUCGCAGAUCAGCAUGCUGCGGUGAAUACGUUCCCGGGCCUUGUACACACCGCCCGUCACGCCAUGGGAGUCGGUAACACCCGAAGCCUGUAGUCUAACCGCAAGGAGGACGCAGUCGAAGGUGGGAUUGAUGACUGGGGUGAAGUCGUAACAAGGUA